rnacentral:rRNA from 1 species
GACGAACGCUGGCGGCGUGCUUAACACAUGCAAGUCGAACGGAAAGGCCCUGCUUUUGUGGGGUGCUCGAGUGGCGAACGGGUGAGUAACACGUGAGUAACCUGCCCUUGACUUUGGGAUAACUUCAGGAAACUGGGGCUAAUACCGGAUAGGAGCUCCUGCUGCAUGGUGGGGGUUGGAAAGUUUCGGCGGUUGGGGAUGGACUCGCGGCUUAUCAGCUUGUUGGUGGGGUAGUGGCUUACCAAGGCUUUGACGGGUAGCCGGCCUGAGAGGGUGACCGGCCACAUUGGGACUGAGAUACGGCCCAGACUCCUACGGGAGGCAGCAGUGGGGAAUAUUGCACAAUGGGCGGAAGCCUGAUGCAGCAACGCCGCGUGUGGGAUGACGGCCUUCGGGUUGUAAACCGCUUUCGCCUGUGACGAAGCGUGAGUGACGGUAAUGGGGAAAGAAGCACCGGCUAACUACGU